UACGGAGGAUCCAAGCGUUAUCCGGAAUCAUUGGGUUUAAAGGGUCCGUAGGCGGCCUUAGUAAGUCAGUGGUGAAAGCCCCAUCGCUCAACGAUGGAACGUGCCAUUGAUACUGUAAGGCUUGAAUAUUGUGAAGUAACUUAGAAUAUGUAGUGUAGCGGUGAAAUGCUUAGAUAUUACAUGGUAAUAACCAAUUUGCGAAGGACAGGUUACUAACAAUGGAUUGACGCUGAUGGACGAAAGACGUGGGGAGCGAACAGGAUUAGAUACCCCGUGUAGU
rnacentral:rRNA from 1 species